AACAGCAAAUAAUGAAAUUAACCUAAAAAUGACCAAAUUAUUUCAUUCAUCAAACUCUUUGCGAGUACUUGAUUAGCUAAGCUGCCACCUAUUGGAUCACUUGUCUAACGAUUGAUAAUACGUUAGGCUCAACUUACCGCAGGGGAGCCAAAGUAGUAACGGAGCGUAGUGGACUGGCCGACAGCCAAUAUUUCUGACGAUUUUGUAUCGGUCAAUCUCUCAUUCAGACAUAUAUAUUUCCGUAUAUAAAUACAUAUAUACUCGCAGAAUGUGCUUAACAAAUUUCGCAUUCCACUCAGUAUUGGUACGUACUAAAAUACUGAGAAUUAAAUUUUCACAUUAACUAAUUGACUAAAUAAAUAUUACGUCUGCAAUAGGAAUAAUCAUAAUGAUAAUUUUGAGCUUCAAACCGCAUUUUAAAAUUCUUUUUACUGUCGUUAAUGGCGACAUCUUAUCGAAAACGUGUUGAUUGCGUGUCUCUGUGCAUUUUUCCUCUUAUUACAUCAGGCCUACAAGUAAAAUGAUAACAUGUGUCUAUCAAAAUAAUUUACAUGGAAAAUUAUUUCAACUGUGGAACCUAAGAAACAUUUUUACAUAUUCAAUAAUUUGAUAAAUUAGUGAUUUUUAAUAGAAUAACACUGCAGUGUUAAAAUUAUACAAAAAAAAAUCAACUGUUUCAUUGGAAAUUAGUAUUUAAUGGAUUAAUGAACUUUCCUGAUUCAACGUCAAUUCGUUAAUGAUCAUUGGAAGCUGUAAUGGGUUUAUUAAUUGGCUAAAAUUUUAACUGUUGUUAAUAUCGAAAAUUGAUACGUUUACAAAAGAAAGCCAGCGGAUCGAAGGUAACUAACGCGUCGACCGGAAUAUCUUGAUACCGGAAAACGAUUAUACACCAGAGAUACAGUAAUGUUGGAUAAGAGGAUAAUAGCGAAGAAUAGGAUAGUUUGGAAAUGAAAGAGUGAUAAAUAGAAAAAAUAAUAUUUGUUACAUAUCGAGAAUAUUCGAAAAUAUUCGAGGAAAGUGAAAUGUUAUUUGUUAAUUUUAUUUUCAGAAAAUUUUUAUUUUAUCUAUGACUUUUGUUAUUACUGUAAAUACCUCUUAAUCUAAAUUUUUUGUUAUUAUUUUUAUAAUCAAUUAAUUUGAACUAGAAAUAUUUGCAUUUCUUUCAAAGAGAUCUUCAAAUAGUAUUUUUCAUCAACGGAAAUGAAUAAAAGUUAAGCAAAAUUUGGAGGUGAAUUGAUCGUUUGAUAUUAGGAUAAUGUGGGAAACGUAAUAGUGACGACAAAGUGAAUCCAAUAGUCACUCAUUUAAUUCUAACUGUUAACACAAUUUACACGAUUGUUAUCUCUCCAAAGGAAUUGUGUUGGGUUGCAAUUGCUAACAUUUAGUUUCCGAUAUCUAUAAAUUUCACUGUCAAUGUUUCUAUCUAUAAAAUAUCAGGUUCAUAAAGAUUACAGACAUCGACUAAUUUUGUCUUUUACUCAGUAAUUCGCUUUAAUGAUUGAAAAUCACAUUAAAUUACGACAUAUAAAUUUUGUAUCAUUGUUAGAAAUCAA
rnacentral:lncRNA from 1 species